rnacentral:lncRNA from 1 species
AAGAUACGAAGUACAUCAUCUAUGGAGUGUUGUUUUUCAUGUUUUUCAUGUUUUCAUCAAUAAUUGUCGUGUAUGUGAGAAAAAUGUAGAAGGUUAUCGAUCCCUAGAUUGCAUAUGCCUUCUAUUCCCUAUGUUUUCAAUAAUAUGUAAUUGUGUCGUGAUAUUUUACGUUCAACCAUUGAAGUUACUUUGUGCCUAGCUAUAUUACAUAGUAUCAACCAUUUUACCAAACUAUUUGAUUAAUAUUCACAUAAAAAUUCAAUCUAAAAGACGAGACUGAAAAAACAUGUUAAAUUCAACGAAUUUAAUUAUGUGUUAUAUGAGUUUUUGCAGGCUAUUUAAGUAAAAAUAUAUAAAAAAAGAUGCAUUGUUUAUAUUUUUUUAAUCAUAUCUCUGAUAAAUGAUACAAUAUUCACUAAAAAUAUCUGAUUGAAUCAAUAAACAACAGAUGAUGGUUUUGGUUGGUCAUAUAGCUUACGGUUUUGUGUGUAUCAGAUUUAUCCCUACUAUAGUAAAAGAGAAGUACACAAGGGAUUCGGGUCGGUUUUUUUAAAGAAUUCCGAGUUAAAUUUUCAAUCGGAUAGUUGCCAUUAUUAAACUAAGAAAAAAGACAGCUUAUUUUAAGGAAUUAUGGUAAAAAUUACCUAAAAUAGAUCUCAAUCUUUAGAAAAAUAUUUAAAUAUGUAAAUUAUACCACAAUCUUGUGAUUUUAUUGUUAAUCGAUUCAAAAUUUUAUUAAAUAUCAUAACUAUAAAAUCUUAAUAGUUACGAUUUAGUUAUUUAAAUAUAGAAUAUGAAUUUUUGAAAUAUGAAAAAUUUUAAAUAGAAAAUGCAUGAUUCAAAUAAUAAAAUUACAUAUUUGUUAAAAAUAGGUGGUGUAUAAAAAAUCUAAGAGUGAACAUUUAUUUACCUAAAUAUAUGAAGAUUUAAAAAAUAUAUAUAUAACCAAAAAAGAGAUUGCUAUAUAAAAAGUAAAAAAAAACGUAUUUACUAUUUAAAAAUUAAGUGUAUAUAUAGCAAAAUCUAACACCAUUUUAUAUAUGACAAAAAAAAAACUCUGCUUUACCGAAUAUAUAACACCAUUUUAAUAUAGUUUCUAAAUUAUUUUCGAAUUUAUAAGAAAAAACAUUAAUACAUAAAUGUAACUAUAGAUCCUAAUUAUUAAAAAAAUCCAUAUACUAAUUAAUCAAUUUUUAUUCAACUCUAGGUUAUUUUAAUACACUUUGCCAAAAAUUUGACACCAAAUAUACAUUUUGAAAUAAUAUAUGUUGAUUAUAAAAUAAACAAAAUAAGAACAAAUACUAUAUAACACGUUAAAUAAAAA